rnacentral:rRNA from 1 species
AACGCGAAGAACCUUACCAGGUCUUGACAUCCCUCUGACCGGUACAGAGAUGUACCUUUCCUUCGGGACAGAGGAGACAGGUGGUGCAUGGUUGUCGUCAGCUCGUGUCGUGAGAUGUUGGGUUAAGUCCCGCAACGAGCGCAACCCUUGAUCUUAGUUGCCAGCACUUUAAGGUGGGCACUCUAGGAUGACUGCCGGUGACAAACCGGAGGAAGGUGGGGAUGACGUCAAAUCAUCAUGCCCCUUAUGACCUGGGCUACACACGUACUACAAUGGCCGAUACAACGGGAAGCGAAGUCGCGAGGCGGAGCCAAUCCUAUCAAAGUCGGUCUCAGUUCGGAUUGCAGGCUGCAACUCGCCUGCAUGAAGUCGGAAUUGCUAGUAAUCGCGGAUCAGCAUGCCGCGGUGAAUACGUUCCCGGGCCUUGUACACACCGGUAUCUC